rnacentral:rRNA from 1 species
CUGACGAGUUUGAUCAUGGCUCAGGAUGAACGCUAGCGGGAGGCUUAACACAUGCAAGUCGAGGGGCAGCACGUCUUCGGAUGGUGGCGACCGGCGAACGGGUGCGUAACGCGUAUGCAACCUACCCUUAACAGGAGAAUAGCCCAGAGAAAUUUGGAUUAAUACUCCAUAGUAUUACGGAUUCGCAUGUUUCUGUAAUUAAAGUUCCAACGGUUAAGGAUGGGCAUGCGUGACAUUAGCUUGUUGGUGAGGUAACGGCUCACCAAGGCAACGAUGUCUAGGGGUUCUGAGAGGAUGAUCCCCCACACUGGUACUGAGACACGGACCAGACUCCUACGGGAGGCAGCAGUGAGGAAUAUUGGACAAUGGAGGAAACUCUGAUCCAGCCAUCCCGCGUGCAGGAAGAAGGCCCUAUGGGUUGUAAACUGCUUUUAUACAGGAAUAAACCCCUCUACGUGUAGAGGGCUGAAGGUACUGUAAGAAUAAGCACCGGCUAAUUCCGUG